rnacentral:rRNA from 1 species
CAGUCGCCACGGUAAUACGUAGGGUGCAAGCGUUAAUCGGAAUUACUGGGCGUAAAGCGUGCGCAGGCGGUUCUAUAAGACAGAUUUGAAAUCCCCGGGCUCAACCUGGGAACUACAUUUGUGACUGUAGAGCUGGAGUGCGGCAGAGGGGGAUGGAAUUCCGCGUGUAGCAGUGAAAUGCGUAGAUAUGCGGAGGAACACCGAUGGCGAAGGCAAUCCCCUGGGCCUGCACUGACGCUCAUGCACGAAAGCGUGGGGAGCAAACAGGAUUAGAUACCCCCGUAGUCCCUGUCUCUUAUAC